CCUACGGGAGGCUGCAGUGGGGAAUAUUGCGCAAUGGGCGAAAGCCUGACGCAGCGACGCCGCGUGAGGGAUGAAGGUCUUCGGAUCGUAAACCUCUGUCAGCAGUGAAGAACGGUCACUGUGCUAAUCAGCAGUGAAUUGACGGGACCUGCAAAGGAAGCACCGGCUAACUCCGUGCCAGCAGCCGCGGUAAUACGGAGGGUGCGAGCGUUGAUCGGAAUUACUGGGCGUAAAGCGCUCGUAGGCGGUAUGUCAAGUCAAGGGGGAAAUCCCCGCGCUCAACGUGGGAACUGCCGUUGAAACUGGCAAACUGGAGUGUGGGAGAGGAUAGUGGAAUUCCAGGUGUAGGAGUGAAAUCCGUAGAUAUCUGGAGGAACAUCAGUGGCGAAGGCGACUAUCUGGCACAUAACUGACGCUGAGGAGCGAAAGCGUGGGUAGCAAACAGGAUUAGAUACCCCUGUAGUC
rnacentral:rRNA from 1 species